rnacentral:rRNA from 1 species
UACGGGGGGGGCAAGCGUUGUUCGGAAUUACUGGGCGUAAAGGGUUUGUAGGUGGCCAACUAAGUCAGACGUGAAAUCCCUCAGCUUAACUGGGGAACUGCGUCUGAUACUGAUAGGCUUGAGUAAAGUUGAGGUAGGCGGAAUUGAAGGUGUAGCGGUGAAAUGCAUAGAUAUCUUCAAGAACACCGAUUGCGAAGGCAGCUUACUAAGCUUUAACUGACACUGAGGCACGAAAGCGUGGGGAUCAAACAGG